CGGGCGGCCGUGACCCUGCUGGAGUGCGGGGGGGACCUCCAGCCCCCCGGGGGGUCCCUGCGCCUCCUCUGCCAUGGGUCUGGGAUCAAUUUUGGACUAACCAGUUUUACUUGGGUUCGCCAGCGGCCUGGGCAGGGGCUGGAAUGGGUUGCGCGGAUUGACUACGAUGGAGACACCUACUACGGGGAUUCGGUGCAGGGCCGGUUCACGAUCUCCAGGGACAACGGGCAGAGCUCGGUGACGCUGACCAUGAACAGCCUCAAGGACGAGGAUUCUGCCAUCUAUUUCUGUGGCAAAGCUCCAGAAGGAAAUUAUGGUGGUGCUGCUGUUGAUGGUAUUGACCUCAUCCCCAUGGCUGUGUCCCCACCUGUCUCGGUUCCCCAGACCCUUCUCCCAAACCUCAGCCCCUGGCCCCAUUUCUGA